rnacentral:tRNA from 1 species
UGCCUUAUAGUUAAUUUAAUAAUAUUAAACUGCAAUUUUAAAGUAAACUUUAGUUUAAGGCUU